ensembl:lncRNA
AAAAAAAAAAAAGAGGAAAAAUCUUUAAAAUGAUAUUUGAUGAUUGUUGACAUUUGUUUUGUUUAAAUAUUCUUUGAAGGUUUGGUUCCAAAAUGCCAGAGCUAAGGAGAAGAGGGCCAGGAGCCUGAGCUCUGACUCUGCUGAGAGGGAGAAUGCUGAGCUCUCGGCGGGAACAGGGGAGAGAGACAGAGCUUAGAGAGGCGGACUGCUUCCUUCAACUACGUUCGCACCAAAACCCCUCCUGCAGUUGCCAUCUUACUCCAAACAAACACCAUGUCCAGUUGCUGCCAUCCCUCUAACACGAACGCCCCAAAGAAGCCGAGUUGCAGUGGCCCAAAGACAAACUCUCUCAGCCAAAAGUAGGAGAGAGCACAAACCACGUCCUGUCAACCACAGCUUUCCAGUCUUCAUUUUUUCCUUCAACUCUUGCCCAAGUCUGUUCUUUCUAAAAAGAGCUUCUCUCCUUAUUCAGUCAGACACCUUACUACAACCAAACUCCACCUUGAUAAAAACCAACCAGAUGCCACAGAGGCCAAAGAGCAUUCUCAAAGUAUGUGACCUCACUGCCCAGCUAGACCUGCAGUCUACCUCUCAGUCUGCACGACAGACUCACAGUGGGCCCUCCACCAGACCAGUGCUAGAUGACUAGCUGUGUAGCAUGUAGUGCCAGUCUGUACGAGGCUGGAACAAAAAAAUGUCAAAGAGAUUUUAGUGUAAAUAGAGAGCUCCAAAAAAUAAACUUGAAGAAAAAACGGUUAGAAGUGGAAGAAGAAAAAGAAGAGGAAAAAAAAAAACUGAAUUGUAUCCUUGAAAUACACAGGGAUAUUAGCAUAGAGCUUUUGUAAAGACUGACUCAGAUUCCAAAGCUCAUAACCAAAAUUUUACAUGUCUGUGGAUUUCGUUUGAACACGUUUGUUUUCAAUAACAAACUGCAGAGCUGACGUCUGUACGGUGAAGGGGUGAGAUCUGCAGCUGGCAUAGGUAAGCCGAGUACCAAUAGACUGACCCGGUGCUAGAAUGCAGCUUCACCCUCCAAAAGCCAAUGAUGAGUCUUCUGUUGUACAUGUACUCCUUCUAUGUUCCUUUAGUGGAUAACAGCCCAAAUAGCACAGAAAGUAAAGGCCAGUUUGUCCCAAAAGGGACAAACUAUUUUUUUAUAGCACUCAACCAUUAAACUGUAUAUGAAAACUUUAACCAAACUCGAAUUUACGUUGUGUGUGUUUAGUCAUAGUUUCUUAAUAUAAAUCUUAUGGAUUGAGAUAAACUGUCUUGCUUCGAUAUAAUAGUGUCAUGAUUAUGAAAAGAUUAUGACAGCUUUGAUAUGUUCAGGCGAGGUGACUUACUGCCUUUCCGUUCUAUUUGAAUAUACCAAUGGCUUACCAAUGUUAUGUGAUUAAUGUAAAGCUUUCUAUGCUCAGGUCAACAGCUCAACAUGGCUCUGCUUCAAAUGUGAUCUUAAUACUGGACUUUUCUGUUUUUAAAACAGAAGAGACACGGUUUAACCAUGGACUAAGUAUUAAAGGAUAUCUUUAAAAAAAAAGAAGAAAAAAAACAUCUCUGUAUUUCAAAGAUCUGAGCUUUUCACCUCUGAGUAAUAGAUUGUUACAAAAAAAAGAACCUUAUUGAAACUAAAGUGUUUAAUAGCGUGAGGGGUAAAUGUACAGUAUUUAGCUUUUGUAUGGUUGACUCGAGACUUCAUUGGAUGUUUGAGACAUAGCUCUCUUUUCCACUUACAGAAAGAGAGCUACUGCGCAAAGCUGAGAAAAAACUUCGGAUGUUAUUGAUGUUAUUUUUGUACACUUAAUUUAUUUUCCCUCCUUUUCUCCCUCCCCACCUACCCACUUUCCGCUUUUUCUCACUACCUUUCUUCCUCUGUUCAUUUGCAACCAGUCCUUAUUCUAUCUGUAAUAAUGAUAAUAUAACAAUAAUAGCUAAACAAUAAUUAAUGCUUUAAGACAAAAAUCCAAAGACGUGAUAAUACUUUAACCAUAUGACCUACAAAAAAAUAAGCGCUACUGUUUACUUGACGAUGUAUUGCUGUUUUUAAAGAAGGAAGGAGUCCCUGUAUCUAAGCUACUGUUUUCUGCCUCUCAUAAGCACACUGGAGACUGUAACCAAAACCCCAAACUAGAGCCAUGGCAGUCUGUAAAAUAGCGGUUGAAGAGUUUUACUUCUCUUGAGAAAUGUUGCAGUUUAUUUUUCUUUUAUACCAUAGUGUUGAACUUCAGCCCUUAAGGAUGUCCAGUUUGCUGCUAAUGUACUGUAGUUUCUAACGAUACUGUAGAAAGAUGCAUGCUCUGAUCGCUUUACCACUAGGCUUUAAUGACUACAAACUGUAAUGAUACCUGUGAUGCUGUUGAUAAACUGCUCCUCUUUUAUUCUGUUCAGAAACAAAUGGAUAUGUGGGGCUCAAUUCCAUCAAGUUUUUUUUUUUUUUUUACAGUAUCAUAAUAAUUACCCUUUCUCAGAAAACAGAAAUGGCUUUCGUAAUAUCAGAAUUUUUUUUUUCUUUUCUAUUUUUUUUGUUAAAGCUUCCAGUCUGAGAGAAACCCUCCGGGGGCAUUUACUUCUCAAUGCUUAAGGAGAUACUGCAGUUCUUUGAAGGAGUUCAGCCCCAAACCCUCUACUGGUUGAUGUCUUUCUGUGUUGCAAUGUCUCUUGUCCGUUUGUCCAGCUUAAACAGCUUUGCUAAACUCAGACUGACAUCACAGCCGACUUUCCAAAGGAUGUGGACUGACUAACUCUGUCAUGUUUCGUUCUUAACUAACCAAUGUUUACGACAAUACCAAUGAGCUUUCUUCUGUACAGAAAUGUGCAUUCCAAAUACCACAAAGGCAGUUUUUUUUUAAAAUAUACUGAUUAUUUUCAGAUUUAAUUUCUCUCGUAUUCUCUUGAUCUUAGUGACUGUAAGAUGUACAUAUUGGAGUACUCUAUGGUGAAGAGACUCUGUUAUCCUUACUGUAGGUAAAACAGUUCUUUUCAUUUUUUUUCCUGGAUAUGUUGUUGCCAUAGUGAUGACCAAAAAGAUACCUGUGAUGUGCACCUGUCCUUAUGUCCUGCUCCAGUGGUUUAGUGUGUCUCUAUACUCUCCCUACCCCAGUUGUGCUGGUGUGUGUUUCUCUUCCUUUCCCUCCCCGUACUCCACUGAGCUAAAUAAAGUCUGCUUUGGUGCA